AUACGGAGGGUGCGAGCGUUGUCCGGAAUCACUGGGCGUAAAGCGCGCGUAGGCGGGCUUGUAAGUCGGGCGUGAAAGUCCGCAACUCAAUUGCGGAAAGCCGUCCGAUACUACAGGUCUUGAGGAUGGGAGAGGAGAGCGGAAUUCCCGGUGUAGCGGUGAAAUGCUUUGAGAUCGGGAGGAACGCCAGUGGCGAAGGCGGCUCUCUGGAACAUUCCUGACGCUGAGGCGCGAAAGCGUGGGGAGCGAACCGGAUUAGAAACCCUAGUAGUCC
rnacentral:rRNA from 1 species